rnacentral:lncRNA from 1 species
CACCUGACAUCACGCCCGGCUAAUUUUGUAUCUUUAGUAGAAACGGGGUUUCACCAUGUUGACCAGGCUGGUCUCGAACCCCUGAUCUCAGGUGGUCCAAGCUCCUCGGCCUCCCAAAAUGAUGGGAUUAUAGGCGUGAGCCACAGUGCCUGGCUGCCUUUUCUCCUCUUAAUCUGCCUUUUGUCAAUUGAUUUUCACUAACCUUCAGAGAGCAAAGGAAAGUUUUCCCUUCACACAAAGAGUCACUUGAGCCUUCACCAGCUUUGAGAGAUUAUUGACCUAAUAGGCUUCCCCAUUGCCCCCAGUCAAAUGUGAGGUUGGGGUACAGAGGUGAGCCUAGAAUCCACGAUCUAGGGCUCCAGUGCAGGUCCUGUAUUGUGAGUGUGGCCUGUGGGGAGAGCUGAUUACAUCCUGUCUGCUGCUUCUGCAGCUUCUUUUGGGGCAUCAGGGUCCCCAGAAAUCAGAGACUCAACAAAGCAUGGAAAUACAGGGCAGUCCGCAUAGAAUGAACCUGAAGACCCAGCACCAAGCUCAGUGAUAUGGCAUAAUGGUUAACAACAGGGAGGCAUGAUAUUCAUGCAAAUGUGGGCAAGCAAAGUGUCAACAGGCCUGUGAGACCAAAGACAGAGUUAGCUACUCCCAGCAAUCAGGAAUUGGUGCACAGACCUAAAAGUCCCAAAAGUGAGUGCAGAUCCCACGUCCUGAGAGGCUCGUUAAAAUGACAGACUCCCCCAGGCUCACCAUUGGAUGUUCAGAUUCAAGGCCCCAGGUAAUUCUGCUUCCACCUGCCGCUGACCAAACUUAGAAAAACUCAAAGUUAGACUGGGAGUGGUGGCUCAUGCCUGCAAUCCCAGCACUUUGGGAGGCCGAGGCGGGCAGAUCACGAGGUCAGGAGAUCGAGACCAUCCUGGCUAACACGGUGAAACCCCGUCUCUACUAAAAAUACAAAAAAUAACCAGGCGUGGUGGUGGGCACCUGUAAUCCCAGCUGCUUGGGAGGCUGAGGCAGGAGAAUGGCGUGAACCCAGGAGGCAGAGGUUGCAGUGAGCUGAGAUCGCACCAAUGCACUCCAGCCUGGGUGACAGAGUGAGACUCCGUCUCAAAAAAAGAAAAACUCAAAGUUGUUGAGGGUUCUCUGAGCUAAAGUCUUGG